GGCCUUGCGCUCUUUGAGCGGCCGAUGUCAGAUUAGCUAGUUGGUGAGGUAAAGGCUUACCAAGGCGACGAUCUGUAGCGGGUCUGAGAGGAUGAUCCGCCACACUGGAACUGAGACACGGUCCAGACUCCUACGGGAGGCAGCAGUGGGGAAUUUUGGACAAUGGGGGCAACCCUGAUCCAGCCAUGCCGCGUGAGUGAAGAAGGCCUUCGGGUUGUAAAGCUCUUUCGGCCGGGAAGAAAUCGCAUGGGCCAAUACCCUGUGUGGAUGACGGUACCGGAAUAAGAAGCACCGGCUAACUACGUGCCAGCAGCCGCGGUAAUACGUAGGGUGCGAGCGUUAAUCGGAAUUACUGGGCGUAAAGCGUGCGCAGGCUGUUUUGUAAGACAGGCGUGAAAUCCCCGGGCUUAACCUGGGAACUGCGUUUGUGACUGCAAGGCUAGAGUACGGCAGAGGGGGGUGGAAUUCCACGUGUAGCAGUGAAAUGCGUAGAGAUGUGGAGGAACACCAAUGGCGAAGGCAGCCCCCUGGGUCGAUACUGACCUCAUGCACGAAAGCGUGGGUAGCAAACAGGAUUAGGUACCCUGGUAGUCCACGCCCUAAACUAUGUCAACUAGGAGUUGGGUGGUAAAACCAUUUAGUACCGUAGCUAACGCGUGAAGUUGACCGCCUGGGGAGUACGGCCGCAAGGUUAAAACUCAAAGGAAUUGACGGGGACCCGCACAAGCGGUGGAUGAUGUGGAUUAAUUCGAUGCAACGCGAAAAACCUUACCUACCCUUGACAUGCCAGGAACUUGCCAGAGAUGGCUUGGUGCCCGAAAGGGAGCCUGGACACAGGUGCUGCAUGGCUGUCGUCAGCUCGUGUCGUGAGAUGUUGGGUUAAGUCCCGCAACGAGCGCAACCCUUGUCGUUAAUUGCCAUCAUUUAGUUGGGCACUUUAACGAGACUGCCGGUGACAAACCGGAGGAAGGUGGGGAUGACGUCAAGUCCUCAUGGCCCUUAUGGGUAGGGCUUCACACGUCAUACAAUGGUCGGUACAAAGGGUUGCCAAGCCGCGAGGCGGAGCAAAUCCCAGAAAGCCGAUCGUAGUCCGGAUUGCAGGCUGCAACUCGCCUGCAUGAAGUCGGAAUCGCUAGUAAUCGUGGAUCAGCAUGUCACGGUGAAUACGUUCCCGGGUCUUGUACACACCGCCCGUCACACCAUGGGAGCGGGUUCCGCCAGAAGUAGGUAGCCUAACCGCAAGGGGGGCGCUUACCACGGCGGGGUUCGUGAC
rnacentral:rRNA from 1 species